GGGGAAGGGGGGAAAGUGUUCUGAUCUGAGUUGAUCUGACUUCUCCACAGUCGCAGCCAGUUUGACCAUUGUUGCCUCUGGUGUGAGAGCCUCCUGCAAAGUCUGCUGAAAGAGCACACAUUUGAUAUCCUGAUGUUCUUUGGGCUGCUUUCUCAUUUUGGCACAGUGAGUGGGAAGAACAAAAGCGGGCAACUUCAAAAUCAGGGAGAGAGAAAAGGAAAUCUUUGUCUUUUGGAUUUCUAAAAGCUGACAGCUCAGAAUGUUAAAUGAGAUUCUGCAGGUGCCCAAACCCAGCUCAUUCUUGAUGAAACUCUUGCUAACUGCUGUAAAAUUACAUGACUAAACCAUCUGACCGAGCAGCGUAUUAUUUG